rnacentral:rRNA from 1 species
GGAGGCCUUYGGUUGUAAACCUCUUUUCUGGGGGACGAAAGCUGACGGUACCCCAGGAAUAAGCCUCGGCUAACUCCGUGCCAGCASCCGCGGUAAGACGGAGGAGGCAAGCGUUAUCCGGAAUUAUUGGGCGUAAAGGGUACGUAGGCGGCUGGUCAAGUCUGGGGUCAAAGGCCACAGCUCAACUGUGGGAAGGCCCUGGAAACUGACCGGCUAGAGUGAGGUAGGGGUUGCGGGAAUUCCCGGUGUAGCGGUGAAAUGCGUAGAGAUCGGGAAGAACACCUGAGGCGGAAGCGCGCAACUGGCCUCAACUGACGCUGAGUACG